UGGGGAAUAUUGCGCAAUGGUCGAAAGACUGACGCAGCGACGCCGCGUGUGGGAGGAAGCCCUUCGGGGUGUAAACCACUGUCGGGGGGGACGAAUCCCGGGCGGGCAAAUAGCCCGAACGGUUGACGGUACCCCCAAAGGAAGCACCGGCUAACUCCGUGCCAGCAGCCGCGGUAAGACGGAGGGUGCAAGCGUUGUUCGGAAUUACUGGGCGUAAAGCGCGGGCAGGUGGCCUUUUAAGUCCUGUGUGAAAUCCCGGGGCUCAACUCCGGAUGUGCAUAGGAUACUGGAAGGCUAGGGACUGGUAGAGGCGAGCGGAAUUCCUGGUGUAGCGGUGGAAUGCGUAGAUAUCAGGAAGAACACCGGUGGCGAAGGCGGCUCGCUGGGCCAGAUCCGACACUCAGCCGCGAAAGCGUGGGGAGCAAACAG
rnacentral:rRNA from 1 species